UACAGAGGGGGCAAGCGUUGUUCGGAAUUACUGGGCGUAAAGGGCGCGUAGGCGGCCUUCUAAGUCGAACGUGAAAUCCCUGGGCUCAACCCAGGAACUGCGUCCGAUACUGGAAGGCUUGAAUCCGGGAGAGGGAUGCGGAAUUCCAGGUGUAGCGGUGAAAUGCGUAGAUAUCGGGAGGAACACCGGUGGCGAAGGCGGCGACCUGGGACGAUACUGACGCUGAGGUGCGAAAGCGUGGGGAGCAAACAGG
rnacentral:rRNA from 1 species